GCCGGGAUGGCGGAAUUGGCAGACGCAAGGGACUUAAAAUCCUUUGAGGGUUACCUCGUGCGGGUUCGACUCCCGCUCCCGGCA
rnacentral:tRNA from 1 species